AGGAUAAACGCUGGCGGCGUGCAUGAGACAUGCAAGUCGAACGAAGGUUUCGGGCUUGCUCGAAACCUUAGUGGCGAACGGCUGAGUAACGCGUAGGUGACCUGUCCCGAAGUGGGGAAUAACUGCCCGAAAGGGUGGCUAAUACCGCAUGUGUUCACACGUUCAGUCAUGUGAGCAAAGCCGUAAGGCGCUUUGGGAGGGGCCUGCGUCCGAUUAUGCUCGUUGGUGGGGUAACGGCUCACCAAGGUGACGAUCGGUAGAUGGUCUGAGAGGACGAUCACCCAGACUGGGACUGAGACACGGCCCAGACUCCUACGGGAGGCAGCAGUCGGGAAUUUUGCUCAAUGGGCGAAAGCCUGAAGCAGCAACGCCGCGUGAGGGAUGAAGGCCUUCGGGUUGUAAACCUUCUUUUCUCGAGGGACGAUAAUGACGGUACCUGAGGAAUAAGCCACGGCUAACUACGCGCCAGCAGCCGCGUAA
rnacentral:rRNA from 1 species